rnacentral:rRNA from 1 species
GACGAACGCUGGCGGCGUGCCUAAUACAUGCCAGUUGAGCGAUGAAGAUUGGUGCUUGCACCAAUUUGAAGAGCAGCGAACGGGUGAGUAACGCGUGGGGAAUCUGCCUUUGAGCGGGGGACAACAUUUGGAAACGAAUGCUAAUACCGCAUAACAACUUUAAACAUAAGUUUUAAGUUUGAAAGAUGCAAUUGCAUCACUCAAAGAUGAUCCCGCGUUGUAUUAGCUAGUUGGUGAGGUAAAGGCUCACCAAGGCGAUGAUACAUAGCCGACCUGAGAGGGUGAUCGGCAACAUUGGGACUGAGACACGGCCCAAACUCCUACGGGAGGCAGCAGUAGGGAAUCUUCGGCAAUGGACGAAAGUCUGACCGAGCAACGCCGCGUGAGUGAAGAAGGUUGUCGGAUCGUAAAACUCUGUUGGUAGAGAAGAACGUUGGUGAGAGUGGAAAGCUCAUCAAGUGACGGUAACUACCCAGAAAGGGACGGCUAACUACGUG